rnacentral:rRNA from 1 species
AACGAACGCUGGCGGCAUGCCUAACACAUGCAAGUCGAACGAGACCUUCGGGUCUAGUGGCGCACGGGUGCGUAACGCGUGGGAACCUGCCCUUAGGUUCGGAAUAACUCCCCGAAAGGGGUGCUAAUACCGGAUAAUGUCUUCGGACCAAAGAUUUAUCGCCUUUGGAUGGGCCCGCGUUGGAUUAGCUAGUUGGUAGGGUAAAAGCCUACCAAGGCGACGUUCCAUAGCUGGUCGGAGAGGAUGAUCAGCCACACUGGGACUGAGACACGGCCCAGACUCCUACGGGAGGCAGCAGUGGGGAAUAUUGGACAAUGGGCGAAAGCCUGAUCCAGCAAUGCCGCGUGAGUGAUGAAGGCCUUAGGGUUGUAAAGCUCUUUUACCCGGGAUGAUAAUGACAGUACCGGGAGAAUAAGCUCCGGCUAACUCCGUG